AUGUGAUCCCUCGUACGACCAAUGGGUUCUAAUUUGGAAACUGCUGAGUUGUUCCGGUGCUGUUCAUGCGGAAUUGAUCGACAAUUCGUUAAAUGAUUUGAUUAAGAAAACAAAAUGGUAUCUGGAGGAUGAUUUAAUGAUUGGGAUAUUGAUGGUAGCAAACUCAAAAAAAGUAAUACCUUUCAUUGAAGAUACUUGGUAUCUGGAAGAAAGUGAUUUGCUCUGCAGUGUCUGUCUAAGACCUGCCCUCCGUUUUUUUUUGUACAAAAACAAGAAAAUGCGAUUCGUGUGCAAGACAAAAUUUUCGGAGACUGUUAGACAAAAUCCAUUAUCCCACAAUGCUCGACAAUUUUCAUGGAAGAAUGCUGACUAUUCCACCAGGAAUGGAUGCUUUUGUGUUCCCAGUAAAUCGAAUGUCAUCUAGCCGUCCGUGCCCAAUUCAAUACUUUUAUAAGUUGGAUAAAUUUUUACAAAAAUGUGUUCGGGAAGGAAUUGUACCUGGCAAAUACUUUAAAAUGCCAAAUACAGUUGAAGAAUGAUGACCAAGGAUCACAAGGUGGGAAAUACACCCCCUUAGUUACACUAAUCCACCGUAUCGUUUACGUGUACACCAAGGGGAAACCCAUCUUCAUAUCCAUGCUUCAUCCAAGUGGAUUUGUUGUCGGCUGUUACGGACUCAUGGAAUGGAUUACAGCCCUUGAAAACUAUUCAGUCGAUUUACGGGACAUUUACUUCCUUUUUUACGGACUAAAACUCAUUUAUCAUUUAUCAUUGAUUAUGAUGAACACGGGACUAAACUUGCUCACGUGCAGGCAUUGAGAAAGCUCACGUGCAGGAGCAGUUAGCCGUCAAAGAAAUGGUGUUGUUCUGUGAAAACCGCAAAGUUUGUCGAAACGUCAGAAUUGCACAUUUCUUAGAUGAAACACCACGACCAUAUGAUCGUAAUUCGUCAGCCGUUUGCGACAUUUGCGCAUCUGAAGCCAUAUAUAAAGAAGUUGACGUCAUACAACAUGUUUGUGAUGUAAGGGAAACUGUUAUGUAAAAUUUCUCGACUCGUUUCACAAUUUCAUUUAUCGUGGAUGUAUUCCGCGCCGACAAAAAGAGGAGCUUGCAUACCGGCGAUGUUAAGGAUUGUGCACUGUACGGCAAAGGUUCAGGUUGGAAAACUGAUAAUGCCUUUAGAUUAGUUCAACAACUAAUUCUGGAUAACGUACUGGAAGAAAGGUUGGUGUGUGAAAAAGGACGACAAGCGUAUGCAAUUAUUCUCAUUGGAAGCAACUGGCCUUUGCAAAAGAUACUUAGCCCUCUCCCCACCGUUCUCAAUGUCGAGGAGGCAAUUGACGGUAUAGACAGAAGACGAUGGAGACAGGCUCAAUUCAUGGUUAACCAGUUCUGGAGGCUCUGGAAACGCAAAUAUGAACCAACUUAAAAAUUAUAAUACUAUUGCCAUCAAUUUUGAAAGUACAGAUGGAGUGAAAUAUAAUAACUCUAACCUAUAAACAUACAACUAUUACUCUGGUUAUUGUAUACAAAAAAAGGUUACAAAGUUUUUUACUACAGUUUCCCUUCAUUUACCAAUUGAUUAAUAUGCAGGGAACUCCUUCAGUGAAAUAUAAUUAUUUAUUAAUUUACAUUAUGGUUAUUAGCUUUUUCAUUGAUACAUAUUAACGAUGCACUAAAAACGCGAUAGCUACUACGUAAUAAGUAUUUGAAUACCACAUCGCGUAAAGUAAGUUAUAACUUUAUUUUUUUAAUCACAGAAAAUCAGCCCCAACAGAAAGUUUUUUGGCAAUCGGUGCCGAUAAGGUCAAUGUUUUCCUUUGUUCCACAAUUCAGACUUUUCCUUGUCAUUUUUUAUGCCACUACGUCAACUGAGAUACACCAAUGCUUCUAAAAUUUUAUUUAUUCAGCAUAGUUCGUUAAACUUUAUGCUCAAGACGAUUGAGAAAGAAUCGGAUUAAUAUUAAGGGAUAGCAAAAUUUCUUUGGGCUACUCGCAGGGCAGCACCAAAAUGGCCCAUAUUUUGAAUUAUGGACUAGAACCAGAUCUUUCCACUUGCUCGACGAUAAAAGAGGCAAUCUACUUAAUAAAGUUAAAGGCAGGGUCAUUGUUUCACAAUUUAAAUGAACUGAAAACAAAGUUAUAAAGCAUGAUUAGAUGGAUCUCCACUUUAAUGUUUUUUUCAUAAUCAUGCCUGAUAACGAGUUGUUCUUGAGUGUUGCAAAGCAAAAGAUUUAUUGGAACAUUUGAAAAUCAGUUUUGCUGGUAUGUCAUUUGAAAAAUUUAUCCAGGUUUAAAUUAAUGGCACAAACGCAAUUUUUUAAAAAAUAUUCUUGAAAAGAACUUGGUCAUCGGAUUUACUGAAACAGGUAUCGUAACUCCAGGUAAUUUUUCAAAAACUAGAAUCAUGUUGCCUGCACGUUGGUCACAAAGUAGUUAGAUUUGAAUGCUUUGUCUUUGAAGACAUCAAGCUACAGUCAUAUAGUAGAUUGUUUAAUUAAACAAUCACAAUUUUUUUCCACUCGUUGUAUAGAGAACGUUAACUCAACUGUAAAAUAUACUUGAAAUUUUGACAUACUUAAAAAAAGCGAAAAAAAUCAGAAAGGAGAGUCUGAAAAGGUGGGAAGAUUUUGAAAUGAUCUUUUCUACGAAGCAAAUUGCAAUUCUUCACUUCUGUCGGGAAGGAAAGGGAGCCCUACAAAGUUGUCACAGUAGAUUUGACAACGCAUUUUUUCAUUGGAUUUGCACCACUACAAAAUAAUUGUGCUACCAAAAACUGUUAUCUAGCCAGAAUUCAAGUCCAGUAAAAAAAAUUAUCACAGACAUUUUUUUGGGGUUAAAAAAGUGGCUUUGUGUUAAAAACGUAAUUAAAUUCCUUUGUCAUUUAGUGGGGAUAGCAGAAAAUAGUUAAGUACUUUCGUUUUUUUUUGCCGAUUGGCUACACUAUAGCUUUUUUAAGCGUUAUGUAAAAUGUUUUUGGGUUAAGCAACCGUUGUAUGGAAAUGUCCUGGUCAACCUGACAAGAAAAUUGCCACACAAAAUAGAUUCAAUAUAUAUUAGAUAUGUGCGUAUAUUUUGUUUCAUGUAAAUUGAUAGUUUUUUAUUGCUAUAUUUUCCGUUCACGACUACUUAAAAUAAUACCAGAAGUCCGUUUUUGUGCCGACAGAUGAAUGUUCAAAAUAGCAGCACCAUUUACGGUUUGACGAUGGAUCCUCCACUGAUGUCCAAAUCCAUUUAACUGAGGAAAACUUAACCAAUAAUGACGAUUCGAACGAUGAAACGAUAGACGUCAUCAAUUUGGGUAGGGAAAAAGGUAGAAACCAAGAACAACUGUAAUAUUGAAAAAGUCAACAAAAGCAGUCGUGUCCCGCUAACUAAAGAGGAAAUAUUGCUUUUUAUUAACAUCUGUUUUAUUCACAAAAAGGUCUUUCACUUAGUGUUCUUGGUGAAAUUGCGAAACUCCUUACUGAUUUGGGUCAUAAUAUCCCAACCGUUCCAAGAAAAAUAACGAAAAUAAUAAAAAAUUAAAGACGUUAACACGUCUUUUCACAAUUUUCAGUUUAGCGGAAUAUGAAAAUUUUUAAAUGGAAUUUAAGACCCAGGCAACAAUGUGGUUACUAUUCAUAUCAAUAUUGACGGUAUUCGUACUUUCAAAACUAAAACGGUCGAGAUGUGGCGUUUGAUCAUUGAUCUUCUCGUUUGAUUAUUGCUGUCGACAGCGAUCUCUUUGUUGUCAGCAUGUUUAUGGAAAGAAAAACCGACCAAGAGUAUGAAAAUUUUUUAGUGUCGUUUGUUUAAGAUGUUACAGCCCAACAAAAAAGUUAAAAACCCCGCACAUAAUCAAGAUUGAAGCCAUGAUUUGUGAUGCCCCCCCCCCACCAGGCAAUUUGUGACUUCCAUCAAUGCUCUUAAUGGAUAUGGUGGUUAUGAGAGAUGCACCCAAUAGGGCGCUAACAACAAAGUUUAAAUGUGUGUUAUAUACUAAUUUUCAUGUUUUCUGCCCUCUGCAACAACUUUUUUUUCACAAAAAACUUCUAAAAAACCACCACGUUGUUAUUAGACCAUUGAACUAUUAAAUAUCGAUAUGAUUUCCUAACUUCCAUUGGAUUAUAUACACCUAGUUUUUCUCGGUAUUUUCAAAAGACUUAUAUUAAUUUGGACUGGUCAACGGCAUACAAAAUUUAAACAUAAGCUUGGAAUUUGAGAAAGAUUGUACAUCGAUCGAAGACUUUGAAUAUUAGUAAAUCGUAAAAGAGUAUUUUCAUCGAAUACCAAUAACAAUGGAAUAAUAAAGAAAUGGGAAGUAAUUGGAUUUCGAUCAUCUCUUCUCAAUUCUAACCCAGUAAUUUUGAAAGGCUUCUUCUCGGCAGAGAAAUACAAAUACUUUCUGCACCUUCAUUUUGGUAUACGCAUAUAUUACUAUCACCUUGUGCAUAUACACCAUUAUGCAAGAAGUAUUCAGCCUUGGCUGGCUACUUCUUCAAUGAAUUAGUUCGUAUAAAAAUUCAGAAAAAUUUAAGGUGUGAAUUAUUUUAUCUUCAAUGUUCAUUUAUUGGUACAUAUCAACAAAAAAUGCGUCACUCAUGGUAUCUUUUGAUGGGUUUUCUGCCUUUCCAAAUCCCCAUCGAAAACUACCUAAAAAAUUAAUAAAGCUUAUUAUUUCUCAAAAAAAACUUACAAAAAGUACAAAUUAAAAAAAUAAUUUAUGUGAAUUACAUUUUGACAUGCGACAAAGAUGUUUCAUCGUUGGUUUUCAACACUGAAAAAAUUUUAGCUCUGAGUCUGAAAAGGGUGAGGGAGAAACGAGAUCUGAUUUUGUUUAUUUAUGCGUUCAUAUUUAUGAACGGUUAAUAAUCAAAUUGAAUGGAUUACUAAAACGCACUUCAUUUGAAGAGUUUUCAUGGAUCUCAAGAGUGUUUAAAUGAAGCCGAUAUCAUGAAAUUCACUUAUUAUUUACAAAUUGGCGGGGCAUUCGCAUUCCCAAAGAGCGACUUGCCUGGUCCAUGAAACAUUUGAGAAAAUAGCAAAUUGUGGCUUUGUACGAAAUGCUGGGUUAUGCCAUAUGAGGAUACAUCAUCGUCCUAUCCCAAUAAUACAUCUAUACUAUCAUGAUAAUAGGUUCGCAUAUGUUAACCACUAUUAUUUUUUUCUAAUUUUAAACUAGCAAAGAGUUGAUCAAUUCGGACUCCCAGGCAUAUGAAUCCUCCUGAAACAGUCAAAUGAAUAUUUUCUUACUAACCAAACUGUUGUAAAAUUUUUUGUUUAAUGUGACGGAGUUUCUUACAGCAAAAGCAAUAAUAGCCAAAUUGUUAGUGUCCUUAAAUUGGAAGUUGCUAUAAACCUGAUCUAACUACUUUACACUUUUCUAACUGAGAUUGAAGAUUUUAUGAGAAAAGGUUUUCAUUACAAGCGCCAUUACGUUAAAAUUGCAAAAAAAGUUCCCAGCGAUUCAUAUCACAAUUGGUGAUACCUGGUAAAAUUUGUAUUGUAACAAGCGUUUUUUUAAUGCUUAAACUUGAAUUUCAUUUGGAACACUAGUUGAUGUUGUUAUUUGGUUUUCUCUUCUACUAAAUUAGUUUUGUAACUUUCAUUAUUGGAAGAAAACGUCUGUACUGAGACAGGGACUUUUCAGCCCACUAAAAAUCUCUUUGUCAGCAACUAUGGUUUUUCCAGAGAGUAAUCACUCCAGUCCGACAGCAAGUACUAUACACAUUUCAUUUUUAGUCUUUUCUUUCUCUAUGAAGGUGUUAUGUGUUGAAAGAUAUCUAUUGUAUGCAUCUUCCACUAAGUAACCAUGAACAUACUUACAUAGACAGUAUUACCUUAAACACUCACACUCUAGGCACAGGAGAAUCUGCAGAAGGAAGAGAGAGAGUAGGUGCGGAACAUGUGGUGUGGGACAUGUAGGUGUGGAAAAUGACACUCAUCACAUUCCUGUUAUUGAUGUUGAAUAAUCUUGAAGUUAACUGGAUAGACUGACAGGACGAUCGUCCUUUUUUUUAGAAAACAAGAGGGGAAGGGGGAAAAGUGCUGUAAUCUCCAACAUUAUUUCCUUUGAUUUCCUUCAAGCGAGGACCCAUUUUGCAUGGGCCAAAAUGGACGUUGAAUCCGCCCAAAGGGAAGUUGUUGGCAGGAUUCAUAUCAACAUGACAAAACUUGUGAUUGCUGUGAUGGAAUUUUUCAGAAUUUCAAUCACUACGUUCACGUCAUCAAGUUGAAGGAGGUUUAUUAUGGUAAUAGAUGUUAAAUAGAGUAGGAGGUGGUUUUACUGCAGCCUCUCCAUCAGCAUUGACCAUCAUGGUAUUUUUUAAAUUAUUGUAAUAUUUCUUGUCAUCAACGGAUUUUUUCUAUUAUUUUACACUAUGUAAUUAACCAGCACCACCACACAAAACGAAUCCGAGAACGAGGCCUACGUUUGAUUUGCCCAGGUUUUUUUUUCUUUAAUGGUCACCUCCAGCACGUCUCAUACUAUACGUGAGCUACUAUACAGAAUGGAGUGGUUACUGCAGUUGCUGUCCCAACUUUUCUGGGAGAGGCUUUCGCAGCCAGUAAUUGUAAACCAAUUGCACUACUGCAUUGACUCUUUCUACGUGUGUUCCAGCAAGGCUAUGUCGCUGAAGCUGAUAUAAAAAGGGCGUUUUCAAAAAAACAAAAAAAAAUUAAAACAAGAAAAAAGUGUCCCUCCCAAACUCCCUUAUACACCUUCAUAGGAGAACCAAUUUAUUGUAUGGGUUGAAAUAAGAAGAAUGCGAAUGUCUUCCAAGCAUACCGCUAAGAUACCUCGUUUCUUUUUGGUUACCCCUGAAGAUCUGAUUCUUGGAAUAUGUGUCAUAAAAAACUAUUUUGAAUUACUAAUUUGUGAAUGCAAGACAUGUUGUAAUUCAUCAAAGACUUAAUGAUAGCAAACAUUCAGCAUCAUCAACAUUGGACUUCAAAAAUUUUGUCGUCUGACUGCACGGAACUUGAAGAUAGCAAUGUUUAAUCUCAUAUCAAUUAUAAGAUUUUGACACUUCAACUGGUGCCAUCUUGCGUACAUUAUAUCGUCCAGAUUUUGUAUACUUGGGUGUCCCUUUUUUUAAAGACUAUAAAUCCAGCUCAAAAUGAACCAUAGAAAUCUUAAUAUGGAUGGAUUUCAAAUGUCCGAAAUCUAG